GACCGCACGGGAAGAUCGAUUAUCCCGUGCGGUCGGCUUAACCCGACCGCACGGGAAGAUCGAUUAUCCCGUGCGGUU
rnacentral:pre_miRNA from 11 species